rnacentral:rRNA from 1 species
UACGAAGGGUGCAAGCGUUACUCGGAAUUACUGGGCGUAAAGCGUGCGUAGGCGGUUCGUUAAGUCCGUUGUGAAAGCCCUGGGCUCAACCUGGGAAUGGCAGUGGAUACUGGCGAGCUAGAGUGUGAUAGAGGAUGGUGGAAUUCCCGGUGUAGCGGUGAAAUGCGUAGAGAUGCGGAGGAACACCGAUGGCGAAGGCAGCCCCCUGGGCUAACACUGACGCUCAGGCACGAAAGCGUGGGGAGCAAACAGG